rnacentral:rRNA from 1 species
UACAGAGGGGGCAAGCGUUGUUCGGAAUUACUGGGCGUAAAGGGCGCGUAGGCGGCCCGCUAAGUCGAACGUGAAAGUCCCCGGGCCUCAACCCGGGAACUGCGUCCGAUACUGGCAGGCUUGAAUCCGGGAGAGGGAUGCGGAAUUCCAGGUGUAGCGGUGGAAAUGACGGCAGAUAUCAGGAAGAACACCCCGCGGCGAAGGCGGCUCUCUGGUACGU